GAUGAACGCUAGCGGCAGGCCUAAUACAUGCAAGUCGAACGGGAUUGAGGAGCUUGCUCCUCAUGAGAGUGGCGCACGGGUGCGUAACACGUAUGUAACCUACCUUAAUCAGGGGAAUAGCCUCUCGAAAGAGAGAUUAACAACGCAUAAAAUCACACAAUGGCAUCAUAGAAUGAGCAAAUAUUUAUAGGAUUAAGAUGGGCAUGCGGAACAUUAGCUAGUUGGUAAGGUAACGGCUUACCAAGGCUACGAUGUUUAGGGGAUCUGAGAGGAUGGCCCCCCACACUGGUACUGAGACACGGACCAGACUCCUACGGGAGGCAGCAGUAAGGAAUAUUGGUCAAUGGGCGGAAGCCUGAACCAGCCAUGCCGCGUGCAGGAAGACGGCCCUACGGGUUGUAAACUGCCUUUGUACCGGAAUAAACCUUUCUACGUGUAGGAAGCUGAAUGUACGGUAAGAAUAAGGAUCGGCUAACUCCGUGCCAGCCGCCGCCGUAA
rnacentral:rRNA from 1 species